UACGUAGGGUGCGAGCGUUAAUCGGAAUUACUGGGCGUAAAGUGUGCGCAGGCGGCGUCGCAAGUCGAGUGUGAAAGCCCCGGGCUUAACUUGGGAAUUGCGCUCGAAACUACGGUGCUGGAGUGUGGCAGAGGAAGGUGGAAUUCCACGUGUAGCGGUGAAAUGCGUAGAGAUGUGGAGGAACACCGAUGGCGAAGGCAGCCUUCUGGGCCAACACUGACGCUCAUGCACGAAAGCGUGGGGAGCAAACGGG
rnacentral:rRNA from 1 species